GGCUGACAACGGCAAACCCGGUGAAAACCGGGGACGCAAAGCUACGAGGCUACCGCACGCCGGACUCGCUCCAGCGUGCCACGCCAGUCGAGCCGCCAAA
rnacentral:ncRNA from 1 species